GCUUUUUUUUUUUUUUUUUUUUUGUGAAAAUUGAAGCAGUGGUUGGAAAGAUAUUGUGAAUUCGGUUGUGAAGAUUUUGAGGUGAAGUUUAAUUGUGGUGCGUUUGGAAAGUUCGAGGGAUGAGUGUGGGAAUUGGAGAGAUGAGAAGAAGAGGAGGGUUUGAGAGGAUUUCUGUGCUUGAAGAGAUUGAUCGAAAGUGGAGCUUUUUUCGUGGAAAUCAAAGAAGAUCAAAGUAGUGAGAAAAGUUUGGUUGGAAAGAUAUUAGUGCCCCCUAAGAGCCACGCGCUCGAUACACCAAGCUCGAGCCGUGCAUCAAUCGCGGCGCCACGAUUGAGAAA